UUGGAGAAACAGACAUAGAGAAUAGACUUAUGGACAUGGGGAGAGGGGAGGAAAAGGUGAGAUGUAUUGAAAGAGCAACAUGGAAUCUUAAAUUAUCAUAUGCUCAAAGAUAGCCAAAGGGAGUUUGCUGUAUGGCUCAGAAAACUCAAACAGGGGCUCUGUAUCAACCUAGAGGGAUAAUAUGGCGAGAGAGAUAGGAGGGAGGUUCAACAGGGAGGAGAUAUAAGUAUACCUAUGGAUGAUUCAUGUUGAGGUUAGACAGAAAACAACAAAAUUUAGUAGAGCAAUUAUCCUUCAAUUAAAAAAUGAACAAAUUUUUUAAUAAUAGAAAAAAAAAAAAAGAAAUCUAAAAAAUCGUCACAGCAAAGAGGAACCUAACAAGGCAGAAUAUGGAAUGACUGGAUUUAGUAUGGUAUCCUGGAUGGAUACUGGGACAGCAAAAGGACAUUAGGUAAAAACCAAGGAAAUCUGAAAAUGUUCCAGAAAAACAUCUAUUUCUGCUUUAUUGACUAUGCCAUAGCCUUUGACUGUGUGGAUCACAGCAAACCGGAAAAUUUUGAAAGAGAUGGGAAUACCAGACCACCUGAACUGCCUCUUGAGAAAUCUGUAUGCAGGUCACGAAGCAACAGUUAGAACUGAACAUGCAAUGACGAGCUGGGUCCAAAUCGGGAAGUGAGUAAGUCAAGGCUGUAUGUUGUCACCCUGCUUAUUUAACGUAUAUGCAAAGUACUUCAUGAGAAACUAUCCACUGGAUGAAGCACAAGCUGGAAACAAGAGUGCCGGGAGAAAUAUCAAUAACCUCAGAUACGCUGAUGACACCACACUUAUGGCAGAAAAUGAAGAAGAACUAGAGCUUCCUGAUGAAAGUGAAAGAGGAGAGUGAAAAAGUUGGCUUAAAGCUCAACAUUCAGAAAACGAAGAUCAUUGCCAUCUGGUCCCAUCACUUCAUGGAAAUAAUGGGGAGGAACAGUGGAAACAAGUGGCAGACUUUAUUUUGGGGGGCUCCAAAAUCACUGCAGAUGGUGAUUGCAGCCAUGAAAUUAAAAGACGCUUACUCCUUGGAAGGAAAUUUAUGACCACCUAGAUAGCAUACUCAAACGCAGGGACAUUACUUGCCAACACAGGUCCGUCUAGUCAGUCCAUGGUUUUUUCCGUGGUCGUGUAAGGUGUGAGAGUUGGACUGUGAAGAAACUGAGCGCCAAAGAAUGAUGCUCUUGAACUGUGGUGUUGGAGAAGACUAUUGAGAGUCCCAUGGACUGCAAGGAGAUCCAACCGGUCCAUUCCGAAAGAGAUCAGUCCUGGGUGUUCUUUGGAAGGAAUGACGCUAAAGCUGAAACUCCAGUACUUUGGCCACCUCAUGCGAAGAGUUGACUCAUUGGAAAAGACUCUGAUGCUGCCAGGGAUUGGGGGCAGGAGGAAAGGGGAACGACAGAGGAUGAGAUGGCUGGAUGGCAUCACCGACUCGAUGGACGUGAGUUUGGGUGAACUCCGGGAGUGGUGAUGGACAGGGAGGCCUGGCGUGCUGCACUUCACAGGGUCGCAAGAGUCGGACAGCGACUGAGCGACUGAACUGAACUGAAACUGAACUGAUUGGAGAAAACAGACUGUAGAGAAGAAUAGACUUAUGGACAUGGGGAGAGGGGAGGAAAAGGUGAGAUGUAUUGAAAGAGCACAUGGAAUCUUAAAUAUAUCAUAUGCUCAAAGAUAGCCAAAGGGAGUUUGCUGUAUGGCUCAGAAAACUCAAACAGGGGCUCUGUAUCAACCUAGAGGGAUUACUAUGGCGAGAGAGAUAGGAGGGAGGUUCAACAGGGAGGAGAUAUAAGUAUACCUAUGGAUGAUUCAUGUCUGAGGUUAGACAGAAACAACAAAAUUUAGUAGAGCAAUAUCCUUCAAUUAAAAAAUGAACAAAAUUUUUAAAAUAGAAAAAAAAAAAAAAGAAAUCUAAAAAAUUGUCACAGCAAAGAGGAACCUAACAAGGCAGAAUAUGGAAUGACUGGAUUUAGUAUGGUAUCCUGGAUGGAUACUGGGACAGCAAAAGGACAUUAGGUAAAAACCAAGGAAAUCUGAAAAUGUUCC
rnacentral:lncRNA from 1 species